rnacentral:rRNA from 1 species
AGAGUUUGAUCCUGGCUUAGGAUGAACGCUAGCUACAGGCUUAACACAUGCAAGUCGAGGGGCAGCAUUGGAGUAGCAAUACUCAGAUGGCGACCGGCGCACGGGUGAGUAACACGUAUCCAACCUGCCGCUUACUCGGGGAUAGCCUUUCGAAAGAAAGAUUAAUACCCGAUGGUAUAAAGAGUUCGCAUGUUCUCUUUAUUAAAGGAUUUCGGUAAGCGAUGGGGAUGCGUUCCAUUAGAUAGUUGGCGGGGUAACGGCCCACCAAGUCUACGAUGGAUAGGGGUUCUGAGAGGAAGGUCCCCCACAUUGGAACUGAGACACGGUCCAAACUCCUACGGGAGGCAGCAGUGAGGAAUAUUGGUCAAUGGACGAGAGUCUGAACCAGCCAAAGUAGCGUGAAGGAUGACUGCCCUAUGGGUUGUAAACUUCUUUUAUAAGGGAAUAAAGUGAGGGACGUGUCCCUUUUUGUAUGUACCUUAUGAAUAAGGAUCGGCUAACUCCGUGCCAGCCGCCGC